rnacentral:rRNA from 1 species
GACGAACGCUGGCGGCGUGCUUAACACAUGCAAGUCGAACGGUAAGGCCCUUCGGGGUACACGAGUGGCGAACGGGUAAGUAACACGUGGGUGAUCUGCCCUGCACUUCGGGAUAAGCCUGGGAAACUGGGUCUAAUACCGGAUAGGACCACUGCCUGCAUGGGUGGUGGUGGAAAGCUUUUGCGGUGUGGGAUGGGCCCGCGGCCUAUCAGCUUGUUGGUGGGGUGAUGGCCUACCAAGGCGACGACGGGUAGCCGGCCUGAGAGGGUGACCGGCCACACUGGGACUGAGGUACGGCCCAGACUCCUACGGGAGGCAGCAGUGGGGAAUAUUGCACAAUGGGCGCAAGCCUGAUGCAGCGACGCCGCGUGAGGGAUGACGGCCUUCGGGUUGUAAACCUCUUUCAGCACCGACGAAGCGCAAGUGACGGUAGGUGCGGAAGAAGGACCGGCCAACUACGUGCCAGCCGCCGCGGUAA